AGAUCCCAGUGGAGAUCCCAGGUCCUCCGCAAGGCUGCAGAAGCCCAGGCUGCCGAGCUCGGGCAGGCCACCAGCUGACCCCUCGCCAUCCCUAGUACCCACAACGGCGCGCUCUCAUCAGCGCCCUGGCGCUGGGACCAAUGCGCCCGGGCGCGCCAGCUGCACCGCGGCCCGGGCGCGCGCGAUUGGCAGCCCCCAGCCUCAGCCCUCCCACCCCACCCCCAGACGAAGUCCGGCCCCCGCCUGCUACCCGGGCGUCGCCGCCGCUUCCCCCUCGCCGCCCCGGGGCUGUCCCGCGCGGGGCCGGAACCCGGCCGCUCACUCCUCCCAGGCUCCGCGAUCAACAAGGCGCCCGCAGUCGGCGCAGUCCUGUCCCGGGCCGGAGCAUGAAGGUCGAGUUUGCGCCGCUCAACAUCCCGCUGGCGCGGCGGCUGCAGACCGCCGCGGUACUGCAGUGGGUCCUGUCCUUCCUGCUGCUCGCACAAGUGUGCAUUGCAGUCAUCGUGAUACUGAUCGUAUACAACUAUUGGUUCCUCUAUGUCCCUUAUAUGACAUGGCUUUACUUUGACUGGAGUACCCCAGAGCAAGGGGGAAGGAGAUCCAAUUGGGUCAGAAGCUGGACCGUUUGGAGGUAUUUUAAGGACUAUUUUCCGAUUCACCUCAUCAAAACCUGGGAUUUGGAUCCAAGUCGCAACUAUAUAUUUGGGUUUCACCCCCAUGGAGUGCUUGUUGCUGGAGCCUUUGGAAAUUUUUGUACAAAUUAUUCGGACUUCGAGGAGCUGUUUCCUGGCUUCACUGCAUAUCUUCAUGUGCUCCCAUUUUGGUUCCGCUGUCCACUCUUUCGAGACUAUCUGAUGACCAGUGGGUCAGUCUCAGUUUCUAAGAAAAGUGUGUCCCAUGUGCUGAGCAAGGAGGGAGGUGGAAACAUUUCAGUCAUUGUUCUUGGGGGUGCAGAAGAAUCACUGGAUGCCCAUCCUGGAAAAUUCACUCUGUUCAUCCGCCAGCGGAAAGGAUUUGUUAAAAUUGCUUUGACCCAUGGCGCCUCCUUGGUCCCGGUGUUUUCUUUUGGAGAAAAUGAGCUAUUUAAGCAAGUUAACAACCCUGAAGGUUCAUGGCUUCGAACUGUGCAGGAGAAGCUGCAGAAGAUCAUGGGGUUUGCUUUGCCGCUGUUCCAUGCCAGAGGAAUUUUUCAAUACAAUUUUGGCCUGAUGCCCUAUAGGAAACCUAUCCACACUGUUGUUGGCCGUCCAAUCCCUGUGCCUCAGACCCUGCACCCAAGCCCAGAGCAGAUUGAGGAGUUGCAUCAGACCUAUAUGGAAGAGCUGAGGAAGCUAUUUGAGGCCCACAAAAGGAAGUAUGGCAUCCCGGAGCACGAAACUCUCAUUUUUAGAUAACUACUCUUAGAAGGCAUACAGAGGACGAGAGAACAUCCCAUUGGAGGAUACAUCAUUUUAAAUAAGGAUUUUUUUUCUUUCACUUUGGAAUCAAGAUUACAACUGAAAAGUAUUAUUUAUGGUGACAAAUGUUAAUGUCCUAGUGCCUCCACAGCAUGUGUGGGAAGGCGAAGGUCUAACUCCGUCCACAGUUUGCUCACGGGAUGGGUUCCUCGUUGGUGGAAUCUGUGUCCUACCCCUGACGGAGCGCAGGCCUCCGGUGCUCUCUCAGCGAACGCUUAUGGCUCUAACCCAGAAGUCUGAUAGACUGUGUCAGUGGAAGUCAAGUUCUAGGGCCAGAAGGGGCUUUGUGUCUGGCAUGAGUCCUUCUGCAGAUGGAGCAGUUGAACCCCAGCGGCUUAACGUGGCUUGACACCGACUCCAUGAUCAUAUUCCUCUGCCCUGAUGGAACAGGAGGAGAUACAGCUCUUCGAUAAUUGUUGAUGAACCCACCUGUGAAUCCUCCCAUAAAACCGAAGUGUCCAAACAUGGAGCGUGAUUAAAGAUACUCCGAAAAUGCAAGGGAUUUAACAACUCCGAAGUGAGCUCUGUCUUCUUGGGACCUGGAACAUUUUUCUUUUUUGAGACCGGUCCGCUGCAUUGUUGAUUUUUUCCUUCUGCAAGAGCUAUUUUGGGGAUGUGCACUGGGGAACGUCCAAGGUUUUCAGCAACAAGCUAAGCCACUAGAGCCUUGUGUAUGGAGCAGCAGGAUAAGGCAAGGUGCUUUAUGUCCCCGUGAGAGACAGAGCCGCAGAAGAUUUUUCCCUCAGUCACAUUGUGACCAUUAAUACAGGUCAGAGCACUCCCGUUACUCAGAGGUGGAAGCGAAUAUUCUGUCACCUUGCUGACAGCCGUAACCCCAUUCUGGCUCUAGCAUCAUUCAUCUGAGUGCUUUUUUAUUUAUUUUUUUUUUUACAGCUCUUAGAUUCUGGUUAAGAAUUUUCUUAGGCUCUCUUGAGAUAAAGAUAAAUGUGACCUUCUUGUAUUCCCAAGAGCCAUGUAAUUCUCCCCUCCUCCGUUUCCAGACCCGCUUGGAGCCUUUGGUCUUUCUGGUUGGAUUCCAACUGUCCAGUGUGGGGUACAGUCAUGCAGAGACAACCAGAAAACACAACUGUGCUAUUUUUUUCUACCUUCCAGGGGCUUCUGUUUCAAAUAAUCCUUUAGCCUCUGGUCCUCCACUAACUGGCUGGGUGACCUGAGCUCCUUCCUCUUAGGAGUGAAUGAUCUCUAAGGUCCCAUUUCACUCUGUCUCUAUGGUCUCUGCCUGGCCCUUGUUCUCUCAUGGUAAUAACAUCCAGCGGGAGAUGGAGAUUUAUCCAUAGACUUCUUUUUCCUCUGCCAUCCUCCCUUGUAUUCCUCUGGACAUGCAGAGGGUCCAAAUGACUGUCUCCCUUAGCAUAUGGAAAACAAAAAUUGCUAUGGAGACUUCUCCAGCAUCCCAGUGGCCUUUAGGCAUGGUGCUCCUAAGUAACAGUUUUAUUCUCUAAAUAAAAACUGGAGACAUUUGUUGAAGUGGUCUCCUUCUUUAUAUGGCUCAAAACUAUGAAAUAACAGUUUAUUUCUUGUUAACAUCUUUUUAGGACAUGGUGAAUUUUUAUAUUUUCUGCUUUGGAUGUGUUGCCGUGUGCUUUU